rnacentral:rRNA from 1 species
AGAGUUUGAGUCCUGGCGUCAGGAUGAACGCUAGCUACAGGCUUAACACAUGCAAGUCGAGGGGCAGCGGGGCGUAGCAAUACGCCUGCCGGCGACCGGCGCACGGGUGAGUAACGCGUAUCCAACCUGGCCCUUAGUAGGGGAUAGCCCGGCGAAAGUCGGAUUAAUACCCUAUGUUCUCCGAAGAGGACAUCUGAUUUGGAGCAAAGAUUUAUCGCUAUGGGAUGGGGAUGCGUCCGAUUAGGCAGCAGGCGGGGUGACGGCCCACCCUGGCCGACGAUCGGUAGGGGUUCUGAGAGGAAGGUCCCCACACUGGUACUGAGACACGGACCAGACUCCUACGGGAGGCAGCAGUGAGGAAUAUUGGUCAAUGGGCGGGAGCCUGAACCAGCCAAGUAGCGUGAGGGACGACGGCCCUACGGGUUGUAAACCUCUUUUGCCGGGGAAUAAAGUGCGCCACGCGUGGCGUUUUGUAUGUACCCGGAGAAUAAGGACCGGCUAAUUCCGUGCC